UGCUCUGAUGGUGGCCUAGUGGUUAGAGAAUCAGCCUUGGAUGUGGGAGGUCACUGGUUUGAACCCUGGCCAAGCAA